UACGUAGGGUGCGAGCGUUGUCCGGAAUUAUUGGGCGUAAAGAGCUUGUAGGCGGUUUGUCGCGUCUGCUGUGAAAAUCCGGGGCUCAACCCCGGACUUGCAGUGGGUACGGGCAGACUAGAGUGUGGUAGGGGAGACUGGAAUUCCUGGUGUAGCGGUGGAAUGCGCAGAUAUCAGGAGGAACACCGGUGGCGAAGGCAGGUCUCUGGGCCGCAACUGACGCUGAGGAGCGAAAGCAUGGGGAGCGAACAGG
rnacentral:rRNA from 1 species